GACAGAGGAUGCAAGCAAGCGUUAUCCGGAAUGAUUGGGCGUAAAGCGUCUGUAGGUGGCUUUUCAAGUCUGCCGUCAAAUCCUAGGGCUCAACCCUGGACAGGCGGUGGAAACUACCAAGCUAGAGUACGGUAGGGGCAGAGGGAAUUUCCGGUGGAGCGGUGAAAUGCAUUGAGAUCGGAAAGAACACCAACGGCGAAAGCACUCUGCUGGGCCGACACUGACACUGAGAGACGAAAGCUAGGGGAGCAAAUGGG
rnacentral:rRNA from 1 species